CGGUGGAUGAUGUGGAUUAAUUCGAUGCAACGCGAAAACCUUACCUACCUUGACAUGUCCGGAAUCCCGAAGAGAUUUGGGAGUGCUCGCAAGAGAACCGGAACACAGGUGCUGCAUGGCUGUCGUCAGCUCGUGUCGUGAGAUGUUGGGUUAAGUCCCGCAACGAGCGCAACCCUUGUCAUUAGUUGCCAUCAUUUGGUUGGGCACUCUAAUGAGACUGCCGGUGACAAACCGGAGGAAGGUGGGGAUGACGUCAAGUCCUCAUGGCCCUUAUGGGUAGGGCUUCACACGUCAUACAAUGGUCGGUACAGAGGGUUGCCAACCCGCGAGGGGGAGCUAAUCCCACAAAGCCGAUCGUAGUCCGGAUCGCAGUCUGCAACUCGACUGCGUGAAGUCGGAAUCGCUAGUAAUCGUGGAUCAGCAUGUCACGGUGAAUACGUUCCCGGGUCUU
rnacentral:rRNA from 1 species